rfam:Dipodomys ordii contig_71509, whole genome shotgun sequence.
GGAAAGGUGGCUCAGUGGUAGAGUGCUUGCCUUGCAUGCCUGAGGCCCUGGGUUCGAUUCCUCAGCACUACCU